GAUAAAACAACCAAACGUUCUAGCGGUCCUCGUUCGCUUGGGUAGUUUAGCUACAUAAUUUCACAAAAAGCAAGUAAAAAAACAGCUCGUUACCAGGUCGUGUAAAUUGUCGAAAAGUUAGUUAUAUAAAAUGCUUCUGCAAUGUAUUAAUAGAGUGCCCAUAUCGGGGUUAUGGAAUUUAAAUGGUCCUUGUCUGGCUACGUUAGCUAGAUAGCUGACUAGUGUAGCCAACGGUAUGCCAUAACAGAGCUAGCCAGCUUGCAUCAUCGAAAGUAUUGCAGUCAUCGCUACUAGAUUUUGUCAGUUCAAUUUAACUACAUGUUAGGCUCGAGCCUUCAUCGACCAUGGCAUGGUUCAUAUGUGUCGUCAUACUUUUGCUAUGCUCAAAAAGUGAGCAAUGCACAACUGGAAAUGCCUCAAAACUAAUUGAGCACACAGCUGACCAUUUUUUCGAGAAAAUGCAAUCAGGAAAGACGUCUUUUAUAUACUUUGGAAACCAAGUCAAUCCAACCAUAUGUCUCUUCAUUGAACAGCUGGAGAAGUCUGCUGACGCACUAGAAGAUUAUGGUAUUUCAGUUGCUACGGUAAAUUGUACUGAUGAACACAUAGCAAAGUACUGCACUGGAGAGAAGCUGAUGAAAAAAGUGUAUUUGUUCAGGGGUGGCAAUGUCCUGAAGAGCUUCGACACUGACACAGUCUUCGACGUGAACGCCAUAGUGUCUCACGUUCUCUUCACUGUGCUUUUUGAUGAGGUGAGGUACGUCCAUACAAUUGCUGAGCUACAGUCAGUGGAGAGGGCAGCUAAAGGCAAGGCUGACAUUGUGCUAGGCCACGUCCAGGUGUUGGGCUUACCAGAGCACCGGGCGUUGAUGGAGACAGCGUUUGUGUACGGAGCCAAGUACCAGUUUGUGCUGACCACAGGAGGCCCAGUGCUGACGAACAUGGGGGUGGAGGAUCCUUCGUCUCUGACAGCAGGUCUGUGGUUCCUGCACUGUAAGGGUGUGUCCCAGUCCCAGCACUCAGACCCCUGUCCACACACGGCCCUAAGGAGGGCGCUCACCACCCUCCACAUCUACACCUUCCUCCAGCUGAUGGAAGCCCCACUGGUGAGCGAAGCCUCGGUGGAGCCCUCAGAGGUAAAGGUUGUCCACAGCCACCUCCAGGUGCCCCUGCUCUUCCUCUUCUCCCAACCCCACACGGUGGCCCUUGACCGGGCCACGGCCCAAACUCUAGCCUGGACGCUGAGAGGCCAGGUGGGCCUGGUGCUCAUCCACAGAGAGAGUCCUGAUGUAAAAAUCCCACUGGAAUACAAUGCUGCUUAUAAACUACCAGGAGAGGGUUCAGAGGUCAAGUACCUGAUUCUGAACAACCUAGAGGAGGUUAUCGACCUGUUCAGAGAUGAGAGUACUCCGGAGGAGGCGGAGGAGGAGGACGAUGAAAAUUGGGCCACUCUUGAUGUGCUGGAUGACGAGGUGGCAGAGUCUGUGUACAGAGACAGGGGCCAGAGUCUGGACAUGGAUGCUGUCACAGAACUCACUGCUGACACAUUCCACAGCGCAGUGGCAGAGAGCGACCACACGGUAGUGCUGUUCUAUGUGAAAUGGGACGCGGUCUCCAUGGCCUUCAUGCAGUCCUACAUAGAGGUGUCAGAAUCCCUAGAAGACGCUGACGUCAGCAACGUGGAGCUGGCCGUGCUGGAUUGUGGGGAGUGGACUGACGUGUGUGGCGCUCAGCAAAUCAGCUCCUUUCCCACGGUCCGUCUGUACCGCCCACAGGAGCCUAGCCAGCCCUACCGAGGCAUGCUGGGUACUGAGAGCCUGAACAGGUUCAUCAUGCUGAGUCGUCUGGUGUCACCUGUCCUCCUGUCCUCUCCCGAUGAGGUGACAUCAUUCCUGGAGGGGGACCUGUACCAGCAGCAUGCAGCUAUUGCCCCUGUCACAGUACUGGGCCUGUUCAGCUCCACAUCAGACGCAGGUGUGUCCGUGUUCAAGGAAGCAGCAAAAGCACUCUGGGGAGAGACUAUGGUCGGGCUGUUUGCUGACAGACGGGCAGAAAGAUGGGCUGUAGAGCAUUCUGUGACGCUGCCUGCCAUUCUGGUGUCACGAGGACCUACAGGCCAAACUGAGGCUCAUUCUCUCCACCUCACCAUGCCGGACCAACUUGUCACACACAUCCAGAGAGCACUACUGGAUACAUUUCCGGAAUUGACAGUGGAGAACCUGCCCCUGUAUCUGGAGCUAAAGAAACCCCUCCUGCUGCUGUUUGUGGGAGAAGAAGAUGAGGAGAGGGGGAGGAAAGGGAACAAGGGAGUAUUGGAGGAUAUGAGGAGUCUGCUGAACACAGGAUGGUUCAAGCCCUACCUGCCCUGCUGGAUCCACCUGGGUCGCACCCCUGCAGGUAAGGCUGUCCUGGAGGCAUACCUGGGUUCCCUGCCCCUGCUUCCUGCCCUGGUGCUCUCCCAGCUUGCUGCAGGAGGAGAGGUCUUCCACUACCCCGCUGGCAGACCCCUAAUGGUACAGCCCAUUCUGCAGUGGCUGCAGAGAGUGGAGGAUGGUGAAGAACCACCUGCAGGACCCCUUUGCCUAAUCCAAACAUUCUGGAUGGUUCUGUGUGGAGGCUAGUCAGAGAUGAGACAUGACAGCAAGAACAGACACUGGCAAGACGGAUUGUUGGACAGGAUUGCAGGAAAACAGUCUGCUCUGGCAAGGCGGCCGCCCACAGGAAGUAAUGCAGAGGCAUGGUGGAUCUGUGAGCAGGGAGCUUGUAGGUCAUACGUUUAGUGAGAGCACAAGGUUAAUGGAGUUCUGCUGUUGUGACUAAGUUCUGAGAAGAGAAAAUUGAUGCCUGCUUGCUGGACUGUGUUGCUUCCUGUGCCCCUUUGUUUUUUGGGGGUUUGGAUUGUAUGUUCUGUGAUUUUAAAUAGCAUGGAUUUUAAAGUAGAAUAAUGAAAAGGGAAGAACUAAGAAGUGAAAGCAAAGCAUGGAUAACAACAAAUAUGCACUGAUGUGUGGAACUUAACUGAAAUGUUUUAUGGAGAAAGCCAUGCCUUAUUUGAUUUAUUUUACUCUUCCUUUGUUGUCUGCCUCUACGUCACGAUGCCUGCUCAACCCAGAGCUUUAAAGAACCUGUCACUUUUUCACCUCUUGACAUAAAGACCACGUUUUAAUUGAAAAUGUUUUAUUUUGUACACAAAAAGACUCACCCACUAUCAGUCAUUGUAGCAGACUGUCAUGUGCAAAGUAAGGGAACACCGCCACUACGUCCCUCUCCAACCAAGGUGCAUGGAUUGAGGAGCAAACUGAAGUGAAGAUUCAGCAACUCUUGAAGGACAGUGGGAGUUGACGGAAAAAGCUUUAUUGUUAAAAGUAAAACCAACACGUUUUGACUCUUGGCCUUCACCCUGAUGGGAUUUUUUUUUUUUUUUUUAGCAACUUCUACUAUCCUCCAAGAGUUGCUGUAUCUUUACUUUAGCUGACUGUCAUAUGAAGUGACUCUGAUUCACCAUACAUUUCUUCAGACUUGGACUUUUCUUAAAAUGCUGAGAAAAAUCAUUUGGUGGCGUGUAGAGAAAUGUGCAGUAUUCCAAGGAGACCAAUAGUAUUUGUGUGUGUAUGUGUGGGCACAGAUGGCUACCAUUAAAGCUCCUUAAAACCA